rnacentral:rRNA from 1 species
UUCUUAAAGAAAUAAUUUUAAGUAAAAUCUGCUCAAUGAAAAUAAAUAGCCGCAAUAUAGUGCUAAGGUAGCAUAAUCCCUCGCUUAUUAAUUAUAAGAUAGAAUGAAUGAUUUAACAUUUUAAUUUAUUCUUUAAAUUAAUUAUUUUAAUUUUAAUCAAGAAUAAAAAUAUUCUUAUAAAAAAAAAAGACGACAAGACCCUAUUGAGCUUUACUUAAGUUUAGUUGGGGCAACUAAUUAAUUAAAACUUUAAUUUGAAUAUAUAAAAAUUAACCUAAUAAAAUUAAAUUUAAAUCAAGUUACCAUAGGGAUAACAGCGCAAUUAAUUUUAAAAGCUCUUAUUUAAAAAUUAGAUUACGACCUCGGAUGGUGAAUAAAAACUCUUUUAAAAGCAAAAUUUUAUAAAGAAAGUCUGUUCGACUUUUAAUAUUUUACA